CACGUGCAGAGGGGGGGGCUGGGGGUGCUUGAGCACCUGCCCUUUUUGCUCCUUGCCCUAAAGUGCCCUUUUGGUCCAAUUUUUUUUUUUUUUUCUUUUUUUUAAAGUUAAUUUCCCAAGCCCUCCUCUGAUAUGUACUAAAAUUAUUAUUUUUUGUUGUUGUUGUUUUUAUUUAAAGAAAAACAACAUAAUAAGCCCUUCGGGUCACCUUAUUACCUUUGACCUUUUGUCCGUGACGCAUGACGCAGCUGCCUCCCGCUCAGUCAGUGAGACUGCGCAGUAGCUUACUGCGGAGCUCAACGUGGAGGAGGAAGGAAGGAAAAUUCAAAGAUGCCACGUUAAGAAAGACGGCAGAAACAAAAAAGAAAAGAAUUGAUAGAUGCAGCAAAAGGUGGUGGAUUGUUGACCGACUGGGUCAGAACGAGUACUGCAGUUCCACGUUAAAGUUUGAUGCAGCUCUGCUUUCCUGAAUCUUCAUUUCCAAUGUAAGUGCAGCAAACAGGCAGCUCUUUUUUUUUUUUAUAAAUUACAGUACACUAAAAGGUUGUAUUGUGCCCUUGUUUAUAUUUUUAAUAGUGUAAUUCUGUAAAGACAAAAUAUGUAAAUCGGAGCUAAACCAUCAGCUCUGAUUUACAUAUUUUGCUAAAUUGCGGGUUUGAAUAUUGCAAUACUUUCCUAUAACAAAAUAGACCUGCAGAAAGAAAUUACUAAUAAAAUAUCUAACAUA